rnacentral:tRNA from 1 species
GGGGAUGUGGCUCAAGUGGUAGCGCGCACGUCUGGCAUGCGUGUUGGCCUGGGUUCGAUCCUCAGCACCA